UACGUAGGGUGCAAGCGUUAAUCGGAAUUACUGGGCGUAAAGCGUGCGCAGGCGGUUUUAUAAGUCUGGCGUGAAAGCCCCGGGCUCAACCUGGGAAUUGCAUUUGAGACUGAAUAGCUAGGGUGCGGAAGAGGGAAGCGGAAUUUCCGGUGUAGCGGUGAAAUGCGUAGAUAUCGGAAGGAACACCAGUGGCGAAAGCGGCUUCCUGGUCCAGCACCGACGUUCAGGCACGAAAGCGUGGGGAGCAAACAGG
rnacentral:rRNA from 1 species